rnacentral:rRNA from 1 species
CGGAUUCUGGCUCAGGAUAAACGCUGGCGGCGUGCUUAACACAUGCAAGUCGAACGGAGUAUCCUUCGGACGAUCUGAAGAGCUUGCUCGGAAGUGAGUCUUGGAGUACUUAGUGGCGGACGGGUGAGUAACGCGUGGGUAACCUGCCUCACACAGGGGGAUAACAGUUGGAAACGACUGUUAAUACCGCAUAAGCGCACAGUACCGCAUGGUACAGUGUGAAAAAACUCCGGUGGUGUGAGAUGGACCCGCGUCUGAUUAGCUAGUUGGUGAGGUAACGGCCCACCAAGGCGACGAUCAGUAGCCGGCCUGAGAGGGUGUACGGCCACAUUGGGACUGAGACACGGCCCAAACUCCUACGGGAGGCAGCAGUGGGGAAUAUUGCACAAUGGGGGAAACCCUGAUGCAGCGAACCGCCGCGUGAGUGAUGAAGUAUUUCGGUAUGUAAAGCUCUAUCAGCAGGGAAGAUAAUGACGGUACCUGACUAAGAAGCACCGGCUAAAUACGUGCCAGCAGCCGC